CUCGGAUCAGGUAGGAAUACCCGCUGAACUUAA
rnacentral:rRNA from 1 species